AAUGUUGGUGCCGAGUGGUGCAUUUGUAGGUGGAGUGCGCCGAGGCGUUCGGGGCAGCGGUGUGAGCUUAGCUUUGAGGCCAGCUUGCUGGUACCCGGGCUGGGGGAGCAUUGUUUGCCUUGGGCGUUUAUAGAGGGAGUAUGGCUUACGAGCUCGGGUUGGUGUCGAGCUGAGAGUCGGCGGCGGUCGCAGGCGACACGUGCUGUGCUAUUAGUUCGGUCCUGCUCGAGCUCACAUGCUCGCUCUCGGUGUAAAAGCUGGUCAUCUUUCCGACCCGUCUUGAAACACGGACCAAGGAGUUUAUCGUGUGCGCGAGUCAUUGGGCGUUGAAAACCCAAAGGCGCAAUGAAAGUGAAUGCUCCGCAAGGAGCUUACGUGCGAUCCUGGGCACCGCGGUGUCCGGGCGCAGCAUGGCCCCAUCCUGACUGCUUGCAGUGGGGUGGCGGAAGAGCGUACGCGGUGAGACCCGAAAGAUGGUGAACUAUUCCUGAGCAGGAUGAAGCCAGAGG
rnacentral:rRNA from 1 species